rnacentral:tRNA from 1 species
GCUUUAAUAGUAUAAUAAUUACCUUGGUCUUGUAAACCAAAAAUGAAGACCCUAGCCUUCUUAAAGCA